rnacentral:rRNA from 1 species
UUGACCUCGGAUCAGGUAGGGAUACCCGCUGAACUUAAGCAUAUCAAUAAGCGGAGGAAAAGAAACCAACAGGGAUUGCCUCAGUAACGGCGAGUGAAGCGGCAACAGCUCAAAUUUGAAAUCUGGCUCUUUCAGGGUCCGAGUUGUAAUUUGUAGAAGAUGCUUCGGGUGUAGCUCCGGUCUAAGUUCCUUGGAACAGGACGUCAUAGAGGGUGAGAAUCCCGUAUGUGACUGGGUGCUUUCGCUCAUGUGAAGCUCUUUCGACGAGUCGAGUUGUUUGGGAAUGCAGCUCAAAAUGGGUGGUAAAUUUCAUCUAAAGCUAAAUAUUGGCCAGAGACCGAUAGCGCACAAGUAGAGUGAUCGAAAGAUGAAAAGCACUUUGGAAAGAGAGUUAAACAGUACGUGAAAUUGUUGAAAGGGAAGCGCUUGCAACCAGACUUGCAUGCGGUCGAUCAUCCAGGGUUCUCCCCGGUGCACUCGAUCGCGUUCAGGCCAGCAUCGGUUUCGGUGGUUGGAUAAAGGCCUUGGGAAUGUGGCUCUCUUCGGGGAGUGUUAUAGCCCAAGGUGCAAUGCAGCCUACCGGGACCGAGGACCGCGCUUCGGCUAGGAUGCUGGCGUAAUGGUUGUAAGCGACCCGUCUUGAAACCACGGACCA